UUGACCUCGGAUCAGGUAGGGAUACCCGCUGAACUUAAGCUAUC
rnacentral:rRNA from 1 species